CCUACGGGAGGCAGCAGUGAGGAAUAUUGGUCAAUGGACGAGAGUCUGAACCAGCCAAGUAGCGUGAAGGAUGACUGCCCUAUGGGUUGUAAACUUCUUUUAUAGGGGAAUAAAAUGUUCCACGUGGGGGAUUUUGUAUGUACCAUAUGAAUAAGGAUCGGCUAACUCCGUGCCAGCAGCCGCGGUAAUACGGAGGAUCCGAGCGGUAUGCGGCUUGAUUGGGUUUAAAGGGAGCGUAGGGGGAUUGUUAAGUCAGUUGUGAAAGUUUGCGGCUCAACCGUAAAAUUGCAGUUGAAACUGGCAGUCUUGAGUACAGUCGAGGUGGGCUGAUUUCGUGUUGUCGCGG
rnacentral:rRNA from 1 species